GGGAGUCUGCAUGGUAACUAAGAAAUUGAAAAAAUUUCUGGCACUGGCAGAAGUUCAAAAAACAGCCUUGGGACCUGACAAGUGGUCCUUCCUGUCAGAGAAAUUUACUCCUAGACAGAGGAGCAAGCUGGUAUUCAGACACUGACAGCAGCAGAUACUCAUAUUGAGUUUGCCUGAUUGAAAGUGAUGUGGUUGAUGAUAGCUCAUCAGGAAGCAGGAGGGCACCCUCCCAGGGCCUCAUUGUCCAUGGUGUCCUGCUGUCCUCACUCCAUGUCUUUCCCUGAGCAUCUGUUAGAAGUGGCAGCCGUGAUGCACCUUAAGCCUCCUGCAAAAGAAAAUGUAUUGAUCUGAUCCUGGGAAAGUGACUGUAGUGCUCAACAGAACGGUUCCUGCCACAUAAUUUUGAUGUUCAUAAGGUUGUGUAAUAUUUCAUAUGAAAAGCCUCUGUCAACUUCUACUGACUGCUGAAUCUUAAAAUGAUUCAUCCACACAAAUGUAUUUUUCAGGAAAUCUUCUGAAG